AACGCACAUUGCGCUUCCUGGUAUUCUGGGGAGCAUGCUCGUUUCAGAAUCAUUAAAAUCUUACAAUCUAAUUUUGUUUCAAAGCUCUGUUAGAGGUGUAAAUUUGAGUCUCUUUUGUCGGUCCAUGGCAAUGACUUUAAAAUGAUUGUAUAUGUCUUUGAAUCGUCCUUCAAAUUGACCUGUAGUGCAACAAUUCUUGGAAACACUUCAUGGUCUCUUUGUGUGAUUGAGAGAUGUAUAUUCCCCAAUAACAAUACAGCAGCAGAAUUGGAAGUUUAUUCUUCAUUUUCUGCUCUGAUAAUUUGGUCUGAAAUCGAGCAAGAAAACCCGCUGAACUUAA
rnacentral:misc_RNA from 1 species